rnacentral:lncRNA from 1 species
UCGGUAAUUGGUACUUUGGCCUGCGAUAGGCGGUACAAUUAUGAUUUACGGCCCUUCGAGGAGGGUUUUGGUUUGGAAUUCCGAGUCCAUGCAUUUUGGCAUAUACGCAUUGCAUUAGGGUGCCUGGCACGCGAGUCAUGUUUGAUUUGAGUUUAUGAUUGAGUGAUUCGAAUUUUGAUUUAUCGUGAUAACUGAGAUGAAGGUGUUAAGUGUUAUGUGUUGUUUAUUGUGCGUAAGUAUGAUGGUUAUCGAACCUUUGUGUGUCGUAGUAAUCGCGUAGAAAUUGCUAAGUGUUAAGUCGUGAACUUGAUUAGGAAUGACUUGAGUAAAUGCAUGAAUUUUUGGAAAAACGAUCAAGGAAAUCGAUUUCCCAAUCGAUUGGAUGGAAGUCAAGGGCNNNNNNNNNNNNNNNNNNNNNNNNNNNNNNNNNNNNNNNNNNNNNNNNNNNNNNNNNNNNNNNNNUGUGUUUUAUUCUAAUUCCUUUUGAAAAAAAAUACACCCUCGCUUUGGAAAACGGGGUGUUACAUUGUGGUAUCAGAGCUUUGGUUUGGUUUUCUUUGGGGGCUGUGGAACCUUGGUUCUAGAUUGUAGGUUACGAGUUGUUGUCUGAUCAUGUGUCGGUUUAGGUGGUUUGAGUUGUCAAGUUCAUAAUAAUUAUUAUGUGCGGUUGUGGUCGGAAGUUAUUCUUAGAAUUAUUGAAGUAGUGUUAAGACUUUACUUGAUGAUGGUUUUAUAGGGAAACCAUGCUGCCAAGGAGGAAUGACGUUCCGAGAGCCAAUGUCAAUAAGAAUGACCGAAUGGCGGAGGCUAUGAAUAACCUGGCUGCUUCUGUUGCUGCACAGACUGCUGCCAAGACUCAACGUGAUCUCGAAAAGAGGGGAAGAGAGAUCCGUGCUGCGGAGUCAAGAGGAUUAAAAGACUUUCGUCGUUACAAUCCUCCCAAGUUUGAGGGGACUGAGAAUUCAGAGAAAGCAAAUCAAUGGAUCCAAGAAGUGGAGAAGAUCUUCGAAAUGAUUAACUGUCAGGCGGGAGUGAGGGUCAACUAUGCCACUUAUAUGCUACUAGGAGAUGCUGAGUACUGGUGGAGGAGUACAAGGUUGUUGAUGAGAUCAGCUCACGAGGAGGUGAACUGGGAAUCUUUCAAAGGGAAGUUUUUCGACAAAUACUUCCCGAUGAGUACCAGGACUAGACUGGGUGAUGAUUUCCUGAAACUACAUCAGGGGAACAUGACCGUGGGCGAAUAUGCUGCUAAGUUUGAAUCACUAUCAAGGCAUUUCAGAUUUUUCCGUGAAGAGGUUGACGAGCCAUUCUUGUGUCAUCGUUUCCAAGACGGACUAAAGUAUGAGAUUCAAGAGUUUGUCUUACCCUUGGGAAUUCAACGUUUCCAGGUUCUUGUGGAAAAAUGUAGAGAAGUUGAGGAGAUGAAGAAUAAGAGAGCUAGCCGAGGAGGGAAUUUUAACUCAGGAGGACCUAGUCGGGCGAAGUAUCAGAACAAGGGAAAACAGGUUGCUAAAUUUUAUAAUCGACCACAUGAUAACAAUGGGGGACGGGAUAACCCAGGGAACCAAGACCUUGAGAAGCAAGUGGGACAAGGCAUACGAUGUUUCCGAUGUGGAGAAGAAGGACAUUAUGCUUAUGCUUGUACCUUUGACAGUACUACUUGCUACAAUUGCCAUAAACCAGGGCACUUUGCAAGGAAUUGCGAGGCUCCGAAGGUGGAACCAAUGGUGGAUGUAGCUAGGAUUACUCUUCCUACUGCUAGAGGACAGGUGUAUUGCGUCGGCGCUGAUUUAUCUAGCGAUCUGAUUCAAUAUGACUGUGCGAUUACAGGUAACCUCUUAACUACACUUUCUGAUUCGGGGGCAACCCAUUCCUUCAUUGCUAUGGAUUAUGUAAAUUGUUUGAAGUUGUCCGUGUCUACUUUACUGCUAAGACUUUGACAGUAAAUUAUGCAUGUUUACUUGUCAAAUAACCAUUCAGAAUAGGGACUUCUCGAUUAAUUUGAGUGUUUACCUCUACAGUAACCCAAGAUCAUUCUUGAUAGGAAUGGGAAGCCCUAUCAUUGGUUAAUGAUACAUUGUACUCAAUGUGUCGGCGUCAUACUUAGUGUUUAAGUUUGGUACUAGGUAGAUGUUCCGUACAAGGUGGAACAUCAGCGACCUGCUGGGGUGUUGCAACCUUUAGAGAUUACACGGAGUACCAUCAAGCAUUUUGUCAGACCGUGAUCCGAAGUUCACAUCGCAUUUUUGGGGAGCAUUGCACGAAGCGUUGGGAACGAAGCUACGAUUGAGUUCAGCUUACCAUCCACAAACGGACGGACAGACUGAAAGGACGAAUCAGUCCUUGGAAGAUCUGUUGAGAGCAUGUGUUUUAGAUGAUAGAGGAAGUUGGGAUGAUGUACUUCCGUUGAUUGAGUUCACUUACAACAAUAGUUUCCACGCGAGCAUUGGAAUGGCACCAUAUGAGGCUUUAUAUGGGCGCAAGUGUCAAACGCCCUUGUGUUGGUAUAAAGACGGUGAGAAUAUGAUUGUCGGACCAGAGAUGGUGCAACAGACCACAGCUAAAGUAAGGAAGAUCAAGGAGAAAAUGAAGACUUCACAAGAUCGCCAGAAGAGUUACGCGGACAAGCGUCGCAGACUUUUGGAAUUCGAACAGGGUGACCAUGUAUUUCUGAGAGUCACACCUACUACUGGAGUAGGUAGAGCCUUGAAAUCGAAGAAGUUGACUCCGAAAUUCAUUGGACCAUAUCAGAUUUCUGCACGAAUUGGGCCGGUUGCUUAUCGGAUUGCAUUACCUCCGAUACUGUCCAAUAUCCAUGACGUGUUUCAUGUGUCGCAGUUGAGGAAAUAUCUCGCAGAUCCAUCUCACGUGAUCGAACCAGACACGAUCCAGCUAAAGGAUAACCUGUCGUUCGAAGUACCACCCGUGAGAAUUGAUGACAGGAAGAUUAAGCGGUUGAGGACCAAGGAUGUUUCGUUGGUCAAGGUGAUCUGGAACCCAAUUACUGGAGAUGCGACUUGGGAACUGGAGAGCAAGAUGAGGGAACAACACCCAGAGUUAUUUAUCGAUGCAUAGUUUCGAGGACGAAACUAAUUUUAGGGGGGGAGUAAUGUAAGACCCAUAAUUUUAAAGUACCCUUUUAUGUAUUUUUGGUAUAUUUUGGAUUUUGGCUCGGAGGCUUUUAAGCCAAAGUUAAUAAUAUUUUGGAGUUUUAUAAUCAAAAAGAUAUUUCGAUGCCAAUUAGAAUUUCUCGUCGAUAAAUAAAUUGAAUUUAACUGCGGAAAAUCCUUUACGGAGAAUUUAAGGCGUUUCGGGUGAAACGGUAAUUUAAUAAAUAUCUAGAUUUUGAGAUAUUUGUUAAGUUAUAUUUAUUAUAUUUAUAUAUGUUUGUUUGGAGGGAAAAAGAAAGGAAAACUAGAAGGAAGGAAAAGGAAAAGAAAAUAGUAUAUAAAGGAAGGAAGGAAAAAGGAAGAAAGGAAAAACAAAGGAAAGAAAUUGAAAGGAGAGAAAAUAGAAUUUUCCAUCUCCUUCCUCAGUCACGCAAGAAAAAACCAAAUUUCCAUCCUCCUCCAUUUUUCGUUUUCGUUGCUUCCUUUCCUUCAAAACUAGUGACCCAAGGUUGGGUGAGGGUUAGAUCAAGGUUUUCGUAACUCCACUCUUCCUCUUUGAUUCGAAAACGAAGAAAUACGGUUUUUGAGAUCCAAACACAAACCCCUCCGUUUCUCCUAGAUCCAAACCUCUUUUCUCGAAGAGAUAGAAGGGAAAGUUGCUCACCUCCGUGCUACGGUGCUAGUGCACUAAUUUGGAAGCGGCGUUGCGAGCGGAGAUUUUACCGGAAUUUCUCGCGGAACCGGAAACACUCGAUAAAGCUGACUUUGAGGUAAGGGCUCCUUCCAAACUUCUAGCUUGCAUUAGGGACUUAUCUGUAGUUGUGUGGGAAGGAAUUUGUUAGGGUUAAAUGUAUCGAUUUGGGGAAAAACGAAACUAGUGCGUUAUGGGUAAAAACCUUAGAGUUAGGUUUUGUUUAUAGUGAUGAAUGUUUCGUGGUAAAUGAAUUUGAAUGUCAUUGUGUAUGAUUAUGGGUAAAUGAAACUUGAUGUUUGUUAAUUGGUGUGGUUGUUGUGAAUUAUGGUUUGAAUGUGAAAGUAUGUUUGAAUUUGUUUCUGUGGAAUUUGAAAACCAUUAGAGUUAAACGAGUAUUAAAAAUGGGGAAUCUUUUAAUACCUCGGUUUACUUAAUGUGUAUUUGAGGAAAAUGUUUAAGUUAACUGGGCGUUGAGAAUGGGGAAUCUCUUAAUGUCUCGGUUACUUAACUAUCGUUUUUGAAAAUCGUUUCGGUAAAUGAGUAUUAAGAAUGGGGAAUCUCUUAAUAUGACUGUUUGCUUAACGUUUUGUUUUGAAAAUCAUUAAGUUAAAUCGGUAUUAAGAACGGGGAAUCUCUUAAUGACUUAUUUAAUUAAUGUUGUUUGAAAGUCGUUUCGGUAAAUGAGUAUUAAGAAUGGGGAAUCUCUUAAUAUGACUGUUUGCUUAACGUUUUGUUUUGAAAAUCAUUAAGUUAAAUCGGUAUUAAGAACGGGGAAUCUCUUAAUGACUUAUUUAAUUAAUGUUGUUUGAAAGUCGUUUAAGUUAAAUGGGUAUUAAAAAUGGGGAAUCUUUUAAUAUCUGCAUUUGCUUAACGAUUGUUGUGAAUGGAGUCUGUGUAUGCUCAUGCAUUUCAUUUGGUAAAUUGUGUCGACCCGUGAUAGGUGACACCUUGGUAAACUGUACUGACCCGUGAUAGGUUGUACGUUUACGAUUUACUAUUUAGUAAUUCGUGUUGACCCGUGAUAGGUGACACCUCGGUAAACUGUACUGACCCGUGAUAGGUUGUACGUUUACGAUUUACUAUUUAGUAAUUCGUGUUGACCCGUGAUAGGUGACACCUUGGUAAACUGUAUUGACCCGUGAUAGGUUGUACGUUUACGAUUUACUAUUUAGUAAUUCGUGUUGACCCGUGAUAGGUGACACCUCGGUAAACUGUACUGACCCGUGAUAGGUUGUACGUUUACGAUUUACUAUUUAGUAAUUCGUGUUGACCCGUGAUAGGUGACACCUCGGUAAACUGUACUGACCCGUGAUAGGUUGUACGUUUACGAUUUACUAUUUAGUAAUUCGUGUUGACCCGUGAUAGGUGACACCUCGGUAAACUGUACUGACCCGUGAUAGGUGGUACAUUUACGAUUUCCGCUUUUUCUUUUAGUAAAUCGUGUUGACCCGUGAUAGGUGACACCUUGGUAAACUGUACUGACCCGUGAUAGGUUGUACGUUUACGAUUUACUAUUUAGUAAUUCGUGUUGACCCGUGAUAGGUGACACCAUGGUAACUGUACUGACCCGUGAUAGGUGGUACGUUUACGAUUUACUUUUUGGUAAAUCGUGUUGACCCGUGAUAGGUGACACCAUGGUAACUGUACUGACCCGUGAUAGGUGGUACGUUUACGAUUUACUUUUUGGUAAAUCGUGUUGACCCGUGAUAGGUGACACCAUGGUAACUGUACUGACCCGUGAUAGGUGGUACGUUUACGAUUUACGUUUUUGGUGAAUUGUGCUGACCCGUGAUAGGUGGCACCUAGGUAAACAGUACUGGUCUGUGAUAGGCGGUACGUUUACGAUUCUCGCUUUUUCUUUUAGUAAAUCGUGUUGACCCGUGAUAGGUGACACCUCGGUAAACUGUACUGACCCGUGAUAGGUGGUACGUUUAUGAUUUAUGCAUUUUAGUAAAUCGUGCUGACCCGUGAUAGGUGGCACCUCGGUAAUUGGUACUUUGGCCUGCGAUAGGCGGUACAAUUAUGAUUUACGGCCCUUCGAGGAGGGUUUUGGUUUGGAAUUCCGAGUCCAUGCAUUUUGGCAUAUACGCAUUGCAUUAGGGUGCUUGGCACGCGAGUCGUAUUUGAUUUGAGUGUAUGAUUGAGUGAUUUGAAUUUUGAUUUAUCGUGGUAAUUGCGUUGAAAAUGCUAAGUGUUAUGUGUUGAAUUAUUGUGUGUAAGUAUGAUGGUUAUCGAGAUCCCAAUUGCCGUGGUAAUCGCGUAGGAAUUGUUAAGUGUUAGGUUGUGAACUUGAUUAGGAAUGAC